rnacentral:rRNA from 1 species
UACGUAGGGUGCAAGCGUUGUCCGGAAUUAUUGGGCGUAAAGAGCUUGUAGGCGGUUUGUCGCGUCUGCUGUGAAAUUUCGGGGCUCAACCCCGAACUUGCAGUGGGUACGGGCAGACUAGAGUGUGGUAGGGGAGACUGGAAUUCCUGGUGUAGCGGUGAAAUGCGCAGAUAUCAGGAGGAACACCGAUUGCGAAGGCAGCUCGCUGGGACGUUACUGACGCUGAGACGCGAAAGCGUGGGGAGCAAACAGG